UGGAGACACACACACACACACACACAGAGACACACGCACACACACACACACACACACACACACACACACACACAGACACACAAUGUGAGAUUAAACUCGAGUUAACCAGGACUAUCAUGUGAUUAACGGUGAAUAAAUUAAAUAUGUUAAUCUGUUAGUUAACCUGCAGUAGGUUGUUUCUCAUCAUCCAGCCCCCCCAAACCUGACCCUAAAAACUGACUAAAUCAAGUGCUCCUCCCCGUGACAACAUUACUAAAACAACUGAAGAAAAACAAACACAAAAACCACCAAAAUAAAGUUAAAAACUGGGCUGCUGCCGGACCUGGUCUGAUCCAGUCUGGUGGGUCUCUGAGGUCUGGGUCUGAUCCAGUCUGGUGGGUCUUUGAGGUCUGGGUCUGAUCCAGUCUGGUGGGUCUUUGAGGUCUGGGUCUGAUCCAAUCUGGUGGGUCUUUGAGGUCUGGGUCUGAUCCAGUCUGGUGGGUCUUUGAGGUCUGGGUCUGAUCCAGUCUGGUGGGUCUUUGAGGUCUGGGUCUGAUCCAGUCUGGUGGGUCUUUGAGGGUGUCGGAGAAGAGGUAGCGCCCCCUUUUAACACCCACGAUGAGGCUGGUCU